GACGAACGCUGGCGGCGUGCUUAACACAUGCAAGUCGAACGGUGAACCUCUUCGGGGGGGAUCAGUGGCGAACGGGUGAGUAACACGUGGGCAACCUGCCCCCGGCUCUGGGAUAACUCCAAGAAAUUGGGGCUAAUACCGGAUGUUCACCGCUUCCCGCAUGGGUGGUGGUGGAAAGGGGUUCCGGCUGGGGAUGGGCCCGCGGCCUAUCAGCUUGUUGGUGGGGUAGUGGCCUACCAAGGCGACGACGGGUAGCCGGCCUGAGAGGGUGACCGGCCACACUGGGACUGAGACACGGCCCAGACUCCUACGGGAGGCAGCAGUGGGGAAUAUUGCGCAAUGGGCGGAAGCCUGACGCAGCGACGCUGCGUGGGGGAUGACGGCCUUCGGGUUGUAAACCUCUUUCAGCAGGGACGAAGCGCAAGUGACGGUACCUGCAGAAGAAGCACCGGCCAACUACGUG
rnacentral:rRNA from 1 species